ACGAACGCUGGCGGCGUGCUUAACACAUGCAAGUCGAACGAUGAUGCCCAGCUUGCUGGGCGGAUUAGUGGCGAACGGGUGAGUAAUACGUGAGUAACCUGCCCUUGACUCUGGGAUAAGCCUGGGAAACUGGGUCUAAUACUGGAUACUACCUCUUACCGCAUGGUGGGUGGUGGAAAGGGUUUUACUGGUUUUGGAUGGGCUCACGGCCUAUCAGCUUGUUGGUGGGGUAAUGGCUCACCAAGGCGACGACGGGUAGCCGGCCUGAGAGGGUGACCGGCCACACUGGGACUGAGACACGGCCCAGACUCCUACGGGAGGCAGCAGUGGGGAAUAUUGCACAAUGGGCGGAAGCCUGAUGCAGCGACGCCGCGUGAGGGAUGACGGCCUUCGGGUUGUAAACCUCUUUCAGUAGGGAAGAAGCGAGAGUGACGGUACCUGCAGAAGAAGCGCCGGCUAACUACGU
rnacentral:rRNA from 1 species